UGUGUAGGUGGCUGUGCAAGUCAUUGAUGAAAUCCCGAGGCUCAACCUCGGAAUUGUCUCUGAAACUUCACAGCUUGAGGAUAUUUGAGGAAAACGGAAAUUCCCGGUGGAGCGGUGAAAUGCGUAGAUAUCGGGAGGAACACCAGAGGCGAAGGCGGUUUUCUAGAGUAUUCCUGACACUGAGACACGAAAGCUAGGGGAGCAAACG
rnacentral:rRNA from 1 species